rnacentral:rRNA from 1 species
GUGGGGAAUCUUGCGCAAUGGGCGAAAGCCUGACGCAGCCAUGCCGCGUGAAUGAUGAAGGUCUUAGGAUUGUAAAAUUCUUUCACCGGGGACGAUAAUGACGGUACCCGGAGAAGAAGCCCCGGCUAACUUCGUGCCAGCAGCCGCGGUAAUACGAAGGGGGCUAGCGUUGCUCGGAAUUACUGGGCGUAAAGGGAGCGUAGGCGGAUAGUUUAGUCAGAGGUGAAAGCCCAGGGCUCAACCUUGGAAUUGCCUUUGAUACUGGCUAUCUUGAGUAUGGAAGAGGUAUGUGGAACUCCGAGUGUAGAGGUGAAAUUCGUAGAUAUUCGGAAGAACACCAGUGGCGAAGGCGACAUACUGGUCCAUUACUGACGCUGAGGCUCGAAAGCGUGGGGAGCAAACAGGAUUAGAUACCCUAGUAGUCC